CCCUUUGUUGUCCGACUCUGUUGCCUCCGGGGCGACCCUGCCUUCGGGCGGGGGCUCCGGGUGGACACUUCAAACUCUUGCGUAACUUUGCAGUCUGAGUAAACUUAAUUAAUAAAUUAAAACUUUUAACAACGGAUCUCUUGGUUCUGGCAUCGAUGAAGAACGCAGCGAAAUGCGAUAAGUAAUGUGAAUUGCAGAAUUCAGUGAAUCAUCGAAUCUUUGAACGCACAUUGCGCCCCCUGGUAUUCCGGGGGGCAUGCCUGUUCGAGCGUCAUUUCACCACUCAAGCCUCGCUUGGUAUUGGGCAACGCGGUCCGCCGCGUGCCUCAAAUCGUCCGGCUGGGUCUUCUGUCCCCUAAGCGUUGUGGAAACUAUUCGCUAAAGGGUGUUCGGGAGGCUACGCCGUAAAACAACCCCAUUUCUAAGGUUGACCUCGGAUCAGGUAGGGAUACCCGCUGAACUUAAGCAUAU
rnacentral:rRNA from 2 species